CAUAAAUGAUGAUACCACAUUAUUCAGUUCUGCUUAUGAGAAUUUAUGAUUAAAACAUCUUACCAAAGCACACUUUUCUGACCA